rnacentral:SRP_RNA from 1 species
GACCGGGCGCCCGCGCCAAGCGUUGCGUCGCCAGGGUGCCGCUGUCGGAGGACGGUGGCUCCCGGGCGGUCAAGGAGGGGUGCACGGCUCAGGCCCGAAAGGGAGCAGGCAAAAGCCCCCGCGCGACGCAGUGGCCGGAUAGCGCCCGCGAGUGCUCACGUCGUCACGGCCUCUCCGACACCUUCAGACCUCCAAUCGUU